UACGUAGGGUGCAAGCGUUAAUCGGAAUUACUGGGCGUAAAGCGUGCGCAGGCGGUUUUGUAAGUCUGAUGUGAAAUCCCCGGGCUCAACCUGGGAAUUGCAUUGGAGACUGCAAGGCUAGAAUCUGGCAGAGGGGGGUAGAAUUCCACGUGUAGCAGUGAAAUGCGUAGAGAUGUGGAGGAACACCGAUGGCGAAGGCAGCCCCCUGGGUCAAGAUUGACGCUCAUGCACGAAAGCGUGGGGACCAAACAGG
rnacentral:rRNA from 1 species